AUUCAUUAGUACACACCCACCACCAGCUGUCUCUGCACUGGUUAAAUUCCUCUUACACCCAGAAACAAAAUUUGGAAUUGAACUUGUCCUCAAGGACGUGUGAAUUGUAUUAGCAUCCAAGUGAAAGUAAAAAGGUCCAUGUGCUGGUUGAAGAGCAAACAGUAAGCCUGAUAACUGAAGCUGGUUUUCUGUUACUUGUAAAUCAAGGAGUCCUAAAACAAAAAAUGGAUGUCACAAAAUAUUGACCGCAGCCUACCUGUUUUUAUACUGGUCAACAUCGCUGUGGAAGACAUUUUAUGGUACCAUUUCAUACUUCACUGCUACCCAAGUGUGAACACUACAUCUGGUUUGAAAAUGAGAAUCGGUGAACCUCUCUAGACUCCGAAGCAAGCUCGCUGUUUUGCAUCAUGAAAGGAGGCUUAGCUGAAUACUACAAUCAAAGGACGACUCACAUAAUUAGAAAAAAAGCCCUGCUUUCUUCAUUAAAAAAAAUGAGAAUAAAUUUUCUGUCAUUCUUUGCUUGCA
rnacentral:lncRNA from 12 species